GACGAACGCUGGCGGCGUGCUUAACACAUGCAAGUCGAACGAAGAGCGAUGGAAGCUUGCUUCUAUCAAUCUUAGUGGCGAACGGGUGAGUAACGCGUAAUCAACCUGCCCUUCAGAGGGGGACAACAGUUGGAAACGACUGCUAAUACCGCAUACGAUCUAAUCUCGGCAUCGAGGAUAGAUGAAAGGUGGCCUCUACAUGUAAGCUAUCACUGAAGGAGGGGAUUGCGUCUGAUUAGCUAGUUGGAGGGGUAACGGCCCACCAAGGCGAUGAUCAGUAGCCGGUCUGGGAGGAUGGACGGCCGCAUUGGGAAUGAGACACGGCCCAGACUCCUACGGGAGGCAGCAAUGGGGAAUCCUUCGGAAUGGACGAAAGUCUGACGGAGACACGCCGGGGGAGGGAUGACGGCCUUCGGGUUGGAAAGGUCUGUUAAACGGGACGAAAGGCCUUCUUGCGAAUAGUGAGAAGGAUUGACGGUACCGGAAUAGAAAGCCACGGCUAACUACGUG
rnacentral:rRNA from 1 species